CCUACGGGUGGCAGCAGUAGGGAAUCUUCCACAAUGGGCGAAAGCCUGAUGGAGCAACGCCGCGUGGGUGAAGAAGGUCUUCGGAUCGUAAAACCCUGUUGUUAGAGAAGAACGUGCGUGAGAGUAACUGUUCACGUUUCGACGGUAUCUAACCAGAAAGCCACGGCUAACUACGUGCCAGCAGCCGCGGUAAUACGUAGGUGGCAAGCGUUAUCCGGAAUUAUUGGGCGUAAAGGGAACGCAGGCGGUCUUUUAAGUCUGAUGUGAAAGCCUUCGGCUUAACCGGAGUAGGGCAUUGGAAACUGGGAGACUUGAGUGCAGAAGAGGAGAGUGGAAUUCCAUGUGUAGCGGUGAAAUGCGUAGAUAUAUGGAAGAACACCAGUGGCGAAAGCGGCUUUCUGGUCUGUAACUGACGCUGAGGUUCGAAAGCGUGGGUAGCAAACAGGAUUAGAUACCCCGGUAGUC
rnacentral:rRNA from 1 species